UUAUACGAGUAACAAACGCUUUUGUAAUGUUGCCAAACCCACGCGUUCAUUUAAAUAUACCUAAGUAUUUUUAGUCUGAUUAUUUGACAGUCGACCAGCUUCGAAAAAAUAUUAUCUGCAGUUUCUGCAAUUCUCCAGUAUUACUUUUCCAUACUCGUGAUUUAAAAGCAAUGUACACAGUUUUCUGAAAAUCAUUUCAAUUUUCAUACAAUUCAAAUUAUAUAUUUUUCACUGCUAAGUAUGUUUUUCAUUGUGGUUCUGAGUUUGAUAUAACAAUUAACGCGAAUUGCUCGUUUUUGUUUGUCAACUGCUGCCCUGAUUUCGUACAACAAAGUACCUGCAGCUAUUCGAGUUUUACGUCAAGGCAGGAUCCGGAUCUAUAUUAAUGACGUCAUUAUAUCAUACGCGAAGCUCCAAUUUCGCAGAAGAUCAGAUACAUUGCAUCCUGCAAAUUCGGGGAAAAAAAAUAUAUACCUAUUGGAAUAUACGAGUAGAAGCACAAUUUUGUAUUCAGGAAGAUUAAAUGCAAACUAAACUUCAGAUUUUAAUAAUUAUCCAUGACUCGGAAUGUACCUACCUCACUCAGAAAUGGUAGAUAUGGAUAGGUGUUAACGUAUAACGCAAUUUCGAUAUGGUUUAUGGCCAAUUGGCCAAUAUGUAUUUUUUCUACUCCAUUGCGUAAGCGGUAAGCCGGUUCUGAAAAAUGAAAUUAUUAGUUUCUUCUUAACCCUUUCGAGGUUCUAGUUUAAGUGAACCCAAAUUGAAGACAAAAUAGAAAUAUUUUAAAAAGCAUGAUAGGUACUAUAGGACAAUGAAUAAAUAAAAACGUAAAAAAAUAGGCAAGCUGUAUUUUCCUAAAGUUACCAGUAUCCAGAGAUCGUGGAAUGGGCGUCCGGUGAAAAAUGAAUAAAUAAAAUGUGAAGCUCUCCGUCUCCAAUACAUGGAAAAACCGCGUUGUAAAUCCAAAAACAAAAUUUUUGGUAUAAAAUUCAAUUACAUUAUUUAAAAAUGAAACUUUACAAUAAAUGGUAAUUUAUCGGGUGAUUUCUAAGGCCAAAAUUUUGAGGUUGUUUAAAUGAAAUCUUCAGACAAGUAGAGUUGAUAAAGGAAUCAGAAAUCAGACAUGAAAUCUAAUUUAAAUUUCAGACAUUAAAACUUUUUUUGAAUUUUUCAGCAUUCGUAUGUAUUUUUGUUUACAAAACCGCACAAAUGACUACAAUUUCGAUUUUUUCCUAAAAUUUUGUCUCACAACAGGAUUCCAAAAUCAGACAAAAAGAUAUUUUUUAUUUUGAUAACUGUUUUAAAAUUUGUGAAAUUUUCGAUUGCCCAAUAAUUAUAGGGUUCAAUUUUGAGUGACAAUAAAUCGAACGUAUCACCAAAUUGGAACCUAAAUAAAAGCUAGGAUUAUAAAUAGAUACUUGUUACAUAAAAACAUUAAAAUGGUUUGUGAUACUGCUACGUUACCCAUCCGUGUGGUCGUCAUCCAUGUGGUUGUCAUUCGCCGCAGCUGAGCCUACUCAGCUAAACAAAAUUAGAGUAAAUAGAGGCCAUGGCAAAGUUGAAUGGAUAAAAAAUUCCAGUGAAUUUAGUAAAGGAUACAAAAGCAACCAAAUUACAACUGUGAAGCAUAGAACGCGUCAUUUAACGAAUAAGACGUAAUCCAAUGCAGAUCACUGCUGUACUUAACCUGGGAAAAUACAUAAUAAAAAAAUCCAAUAUCGAAAAACAAAAUGAUAAAUUUGAGCGCCGAAACCGGUACAACACAUAAAUUUACUUACUAAAAAACUAAAACUGUUUGCUCCUGUGGCUGGAUUUUUUCGGAUAUUACACUUACAUACAGAAUACUUUAUUUGCCUCUUUUUAAUACGAAUUGAAACUUCAUUGCUUUGAGCAUUUUUCGAUCUUUCGAAUAAAAAACAAAAUGAAAAGGUAUGUCAAAUAAUCUGACACAAUUUACGAUUUUUAUACUUUUUUGAAAUGAAAUAAUUUGAACUGAGUGAAGGCACUUAGCUGAAAUUUCAAACGAUAGAUAGUAGCAUGCACAUGAAAAAGGAAUUAGAGAAAAUAAUAGAGCAUAGAAAAAAGUGAAAAAUGACAAUGGUAAUCGGUCCACUAAAGGCAAAAGUUACCGCGAAAAAUGCUAUAUGUGACCUGUUCUGACAAAAGGGACCACAAGUCGGAUUUUUCAUUUUCAAUUUUUUGGCCAUUUUGAAAACUAGACAUCAUACAGAGUCGAAUGAGACCAAUCCCAGCCACCUAGCUAAUUUUUUUCCACCUUUUUUCAUUUCUUGAAGUUGAAGGAUUGUAAAACAAGAUUUUGAGAAAAACGUAUUUAAAGAAAAAAAUUUAUGAAAACUGAUAAUGUGAUGUUUUCCGAGAAAAGGUACAUAAUGUUUCAAAAAAUGGAUUCUGGUACUUGAAAGUACGUAGAAUAACAUGGAAUAAGUUAAAUUUACGAUAAGAACACGUUUACAUUAUAAAAACAUGAAAAAUUAUAAAUUACACAUAUAAAAUUUUUUUCAGCUACGUUAACGAAAAACCAACUCGGUAACUAUCAUAAAAUCACGUAGCACCUAUAAAAGUCAAAUGAACUCGUCUUUUAUGACACAAAGUCACUGCUUCUUUAUACUGUUGAAUAAUUAUUGAACAGAAUGAGAUUUUGACCAACUACAACCGUGGCUGGUGUCUUAUCCUAUUCAUUACGUACUUUUUUAGCCAUCGCUAGUGAUUUCACUGCUCUAUGGUAGUCUACUUUUCGAGCAAAAUAUUCGGCACAUUUAUCUGACAAGUCGAUUUGUGAAUCGGAAUUCAAUUCUGAUGAAAUUUGUUCCACAGAAUCUGCCAAGUCGAAUCUGAAAAUCGUUCAUUCAAGUUUUAAUUUUUUUUCCUGUUGAAAUUGAAGUUGUACAUUUAUGAGCAACUUACACGAUGGCUAAAUGCCAAGCACAAUGGAAAUUUUUUGCUUUUUGGUAUAACAUCACAGCCUUAGUAGAAUCAGCUCCUUCGAAAUAUUUUGCAGUUUCCAACUUAUCACGAUCUUCAGCGUGUAGUGAAAUCUGCCAUAAUUGAUCAUCCAGUCCGUUUUCCUGUGCGAAAAGUAUAAAAGAUGGAUUUUUCAAUUUUAUGGUUCAAAGAGUAUCAGAAUUUUUUCCCUGCCAAAAAAAUAUUAAGAAUAAUUAUGAACAAUAUGAUAAGACACUUACUUUACAGAUACAAAAAAAAAAAAAAAAAAUAGUGAUGGUUUUCCCGAAAAAAAUAUAGCACCUACCUCAAUUUUUAUGUUGUGAAAUAUAGUAACAACGCGAAAAAAAAAAAACUUACUUACUUAAAAAAAAAACAUUAAGAAAAAGACUGCUCAGACUUAGACCACCGUUCCACGCAAUGCAGACUUGAGCUUAGAUAUGACAAGUUGAAGAAGAUAGAUUUGAUUUUGGCUCUACUUAAACAUAAUAUUGAGCCUUUUCAACCCAAAUCUUUACUGGAGAAGUGUAAAAAAAUAGUUUUGUGGGAAAUUUGUCAAAACAUACAAGUCAACCUAAAACAGCAGUUAUUUCUCCUCCAGUACAAUGUGCUAUAAAUUAGGAAAGUGAUUUUUAAAAAAAAAAAAGUUAUGCUAAUAUAUUAUCUAUAUUUAAUGAACAUAAAUAUGUUAAGGUACAUAUAUAAAUGAAAAAAAUUCAGAUUUUUUAAUUAAGUAACAAUGCAUAGAAAUGGGUGAAUAAAAAUUCAUCUUACAUAUAAUACCCUACAGCGGACUCAUUGACUCAUCCAGAAAAAAACGCUAAAAAAAGGGAAUGAGUCACCAGCAGAGAUGGAGGAUCAUUUUUCACUGCCUGUAGAAAUAUUACUUCUUGAUCUGAUGCUUAUUAACGCAUUUACACUUUUCAGUUUUCAGAUCUAAGGAUGAUAUAGGGCAUACUGCCUCCAUCGCCAAAGGGGAUGAUUAUUUUAUGAACCCCAUAAACUGGGAAGUUUCACCAUAAUGUCAUCAAUUAUGGUGAUAUAUUUAUGAUGACAGUUAAGUCGUUGUCCGAGCUCGCGGUCGUAAACUGUGUAUUCAAAUAGGGAGAAACGCCGACAAAGGCGAAAGAAUCCAAUCAGAUGAUUCUUGAAACAAUUAUAAAUGGGGGUGCUUUGGCGCUAUUUCUCCACUUAGUCCAGUAUGGUUCUUUGUCGUCCUAUUAAUAAGUUUUUUAUUUGUUAACACCAUUUGCGUAUGAAAUUAUAUAAUUGGAUUUAAUAUAUUUAAUUCUUCCGAUGUUGAAUUAAAUAGGUUACUUUCUAGGUAGUUUGAGAUGUACCCGGACAUCGUCAAACUAUGCAAAGUGUUACGUGAGUUUCGUUUAGUUAGAUGCCAUUAAUGUUCUUAUUAUUGGGGGGGGGGGGCACUGAUAGAGGUGGUCAAUGUGGAUUGUGGAAAGUUUUAAGUAAGUGUUGAAGUGCAUUUAUUACCCAUUUAAUUAGCUUAUUACAUCGUCUAAUUAUUGUACAUAGAUAGGUAGGUAUAUUGAAUAGGAGAAUUCUAUGUCUACCUAAUAUUUAUUCAAUGGUGUUUACAUGACUUCAUCAUGUAUUUUAUGGAAGAGAGAGAGAAAAAAAAUCACAAAUCAAAGUUGUUCACCAAUCAUCAGAGAGAAUAGGAAAUUUAGGAAAGAUAUUUUUGGAAAUGACAGGAGUCAAUUUUGAGUUUUUCUAUUUGGGGAAAAGGAUUUUUGGAAAGAUGUGUUUGGGUUUUAUGUGGAUUGGUGAUUGGUGAAUUUGGCGAAUGUUCUACAAUUUACAUUUACGAUAGGCGAUGGUUUGAAAAUAUAUGGCUACACUGGUUAUUAAAAUUAUUAGAAUUACUAUGUUUGGUAUUUCUGUAUCUGCCUCCAAGAUAGCAGGUAACCACCUUGGUCAUGUGUUUGGAUUAGGCUUUAUUCUCACUGUUGAGAAAAAAACAAAUGUACUUAUAAUACAUAAGUUAUAUUUAAUUAAUCGGAUAUUGAUAAAUCCAAAUCUUACUUACUUUGGGUUGUUCCAAGGGAGCAGAUUAAGAUGAGACUCUCCAUCCUCAGACCUCUAGAUACUAAGUAGGAAAUUAUUUAAUAAUUAUUCUUCCAUAAGCUCUGAAAAAACAAUUACUUUUCAGUCAAUCAAUUCAACUUCUAAUCUAUAAUCAACUGGCUUACUGGGUAAACUGGUCCUGAUUUGAUUGUCUAAGAACAGAUGGAUUCCUGUAAAUGGGGCAUUAUCUAGUCCCUUGUAUCGUUUCUGUAUGGCGGUAACUGUGUAUAAAAUAUUCUCCGGUAGUCUAGUCAGGCUUACAAAUGGUAGGUAUUUGACCCCCUGACAAAUUGAGUCAAUGUCCUUCAUAAUAACGUUCAUUCUUUCUUCAUCAUCCAGAUUUAAAAAGGCUAGCUGACAAAGUAGUGCAGGAGGAGCAACAGGAGGCUCCAUUGAUUUAGAUUCUCCAACAGCCUCCUUCAGGAAGGUCAUCUCCUUCUGCAAUGGAAUAAAAAAUUCAAACUUGAAAAAGAAAAGCGAACAAUCCCAAAUGAAGCGAGGCCAACAGCAUUCAAAAAUUCAAUCAUGUUUUGAGAGGUGAAAAUAAAAAGUUUCUUUAUGGAGAGAGGAGUUUAUUUUUCUGAUUCAAACUUUGAUCAUUUCUUGAAUUUGAACAAAUACUCAAGUUUUCUAUGCGAGAAAAGAAUAUGCAAAUAGCACGAGCGAAGCUAGGGCAAAAGCUCUCAAAAUGUGUAAUUCAAAAUCUAAAAAAGUCGACAAAUGAGCCCUUUUCAACAAAAUUUAUUCAGAAUUCCGGAAAAAUUGAAAAUUAGAAAAAAGUAGGACUUUUGGAUAAAAUUGUUGAAAAUAGGACUUUAGGUAGUAGGACUAAAAGAAUUUUUGAAAAAAAAAAGUAGGACUUCAGUAGGACCAGCAGGACCUGUUAGACACCUUGAUGAAUAAGGUAUGCAAUUAUUUUGAAUUCAAAAUUGAAAAAAAUGGACAAAUGAUUUCAAAAUAAAAUUUGUUUGAAAUAGGAGAAAUUUGCGGAUUCGUCCAGCCAGGGCAAAGCGUUUUGCCAGCCAGGGCGGCGCCCUGGCUGCCCUUAUGCUGGCUACGGGCCUGUCCCCACUCCCCAGUACAUUCAUUUUUGAGAAGGUCAUUAUUCAAUUACAAAAAAAGUAAAAUAUCCGCAUUGCUUGAACUACCUGACCAAAUUUUUGAAGAUAUGGACACAAUAACUUGUAUGUAUCUGCAAUCUGCAUGGACGAUAAAAAAUUGUUCAUAUAUGAACCUUUUGGUCAUUUGUAUGUGUGCAAAAAAUGCAAUGAAAAUACAAAAAACUGUCCAAUUUGUAGAGUUGAAAUUAGUCUUAGUUUUCCCAAAACAGCUAUUACUCCUCCAAUAAGAUGAGCCAUAAUAUGAUGAGUAUUUACAACUCUGAAUGUCCACUAUAGACACUGUACCUGUGCCCUCCGGGUAAGACACCGAACUGCAGGCAACGGGGAAAAGGGACGGUAGUAAAAUCUUGUGUCAUGCCAAUUUCUCCCGCUGGGUGCUUUUGGCUGCGCUAUAACGUCAGUUUGCAAGCAACGGGGAAGAGGGAUGGUAGUGAUAGUAGUUGGAUUGGAUGCUCUUGGCUGCGCGCGCAGCGCACUGUACUUCGCAUGGUACUUCGUUCAAGAAUUCGACACCAGCGCAGCCAAAAGCACCCAGUGGGAUAAAUUGGCAUGACACACGUAAUUCAGCCAAUAUGGCCGCUAGUUCGUUGUCUUCCCCCAGGUACAGUGUCUAUAAUGUCCACCAAGUGUACUAAGGUAUGAAUGAGGCUCACAGUUUGGGUGAUAUUUUGCCUUUGUCCAAAUUUUCCGUACAAGGAGUUCAUGCACAAUUUGAAAUUCAACUUUGAGAGAUUAGAAAACAGAACAAAGAUGCUCAGUAUUAUAUUUAGUUAUUUUGAAACAAACAUUACAUUUUUAGAUAAAAUAUUAAUAAAUAAGGUUAGAUUAUUAUAAUAAAGAAGUGAAAAGAUUAUCCCCCGUGUUUAUUAUUACCUAUAAGGGGGACACAGUAACCUAAUCCUAAAUAACAUCAACAAAAAAUGGAAUGGGUCACCAGCAAUGGAAGGGGUUGGAGGUACAUUUUUCACUAUAAUAUAGAAUAGCAGAUCUAAUCAUUUUUGUUCCGGUUUCUUUAUUCAUUUAGCACCGGUUAUUUUAAUUGCAACUAGUAGAGACAUUUUGUCACAAUAAAUCAAAAAUUGAACAUUUUCGAAAUCUGAAGGAUGGAAUAUUGGAAUGUCAGAUGUGACCGGAUUUCCAGCAAAGUCAUUUCAAAAUCCUAAAUUUCAUAUUUUCUCGUAUUUUUCUGAAAAUUUGUUUAUUAAAAUAAGUGAACCAGUGUUCAGUGCAGAAUGGCUAUAAUAGAUGUAGGAUUUCUCCUCACAUAUUCUCCUAUCAUACAUUGAUUUUCCAAUCUGAAUCUGUUUUGAUUAGUCACGUACUGGUUUAUAUUAUGUAUAUCAGGUGUAAAAAGGAAUACUUUUAGCUAUAAUGAAAGAAGUCAUUUCAGCCAAUAAAUGAUUCAUAAAAAAGAUAGAAUUUUGAACCAGACUGUGGGUAAACUUAUCGUUCGUGAUAUUCAAGAAUUUCAUCAAUUUUCCAUCAAACAAGAACGAAAAUUUAUUUUAAAGUGAGGUUCGAGAUUCAAGCCUAUUUUGUUGUUCAAUAAGUUGCAUUUGAGCAACUCAAAUCAAUCCGGUUGAUUUUAGGUUGGUUUUGAAUAUUGUUAUUUUGCUAGUCAGGUUCAACAAUGGAUUGAGAUUUUCCACACAAAAUAUCAUGAUAAAAUAAGAUAUUAGGUAAUGAUGAAUUUAUUUGGAGAAUGUGGAUUUGAUUUUUGUAUGUUUUUUAACGAGCUAUCAAGUAAAACAUUUCUAAUACAUAUUUAAAAAAAAAAAAAAAAACUUACUUAUGCUGUAAAAAAAUAUACAAUCAAGAGAAUAAAGUAGAAUAUGGAAUUUAGAAUAUUGACAAUGGGAUACGGUUGUCUGCCUCCACGUUUCUUUCCUGAUGCCAUGUCCUGAAAAAAAAGUUUGAGUGAAUUAGGUGAAAAAUCACAGAAAAAUUUUCUUACCUAGCAAAGUUUUUUUUUGCAGGAAAUUGUCGAGGGUGGCCCGGGUAAAAUAGAUCUAAUGUCCCAGUCCUUGGUUUUUGAAAUUUUAAUAAAACAUUGGGGUCAUUCCAUGUCAAUUUGACCAAAAAAAUACGAUUUUGAAAGUCAUGUCUUUCGAUCUCCCUCAAAUUUUUUUUGCAAUAUAUACCCACCCAGUAUGUAAGAAACCCGCGAUCAGUUUGGUCCCAGCCCAGUCGGAGGUAGGGUGGAGGGGCUUCCAUUAUUUUCACAUUGUCUCGAGGUACUCAACUUCAGCAGCGCAUUUCUCCAAAACUAUGAUACUUUGAUCAAAACUGAUUUCACAAUUCGAAAAGGUAUUGAAUUUUAAACUUUUUAAGCAUUCUGAAAUUUUAUGAAAGUUCAACUUUUCAAAAUGGCGCUGUAAGUGGGAGCUACCAUUUAAAAUUCUGAAAAAAUUUCCAUAGAUGUACCUUUUGAUUCUUUUUCGAAAUAUUCAAGUUUUGAGAUGGGGUCUCUUAAUGGAGGGGGAGCACUCCCACCCCCAAUUUGGGGCAAAACUUUCGAAAAAAAAUCUGGGGCAUGUGAUAUAUCGAAUUGUAUGUUUUUAGCAACGCUAAACACGAAUAUGACGUUAGAUUUUUGAUUCGACCCUAUCCACGGCCCCCAGCACCUCCCCAAAUAGGGUAAAAGUUCAAAAUAGGUUUUUUUUUCGUGCGACACAUCAAAUAGUAUGUUUUUGGUGACGCUGGACACGAAUAUGACGUCAGAUUUUUCGUUGGACCCCAUCUUUGGCCUUCAACCAAUUUUUUGGUCUUUAACCAAUUGGGGAAGGUUCGGGGAGCCAUGGGUAAGGUCAAAUUGAAAAACGACGGCUAUAAUCGUGUUCAGCUAUAUCGAAAACAUACUAUUUCAUGUGUCACACGAUUGAAACCAUUUUUUUUAGGUUACCCCCCUUGGGGAGGUGCUGGGGGCCGUGGAUAGGGUCGAAUCAAAAAUCUAACGUCAUAUUCGUGUUUAGCGUUGCUAAAAACAUACAAUUCGAUAUAUCACAUGCCCCAGAUUUUUUUCUCGAAAGUUUUGCCCCAAAUUGGGGGUGGAAGUGCUCCCUCUCCAUUAAGAGACCCCAUCUCAAAACUUGAAUAUUUCGAAAAAGAAUCAAAAGGUACAUCUAUGGACAUUUUUUCAGAAUUUUAAAUGGUAGCUCCCACUAACAGCGCCAUUUUGAAAUUGAAAGUUCAACUUUCGAAUUUUCAGAAUUUCAAAAUGCUUAGAAAGUUCAAAAUUCAAUACCCUUUCGAACUGUGAAAUCAGUUUUUAUCAAAGUAUCAUAGUUUUGGAGGAAUGCGGUGCUGAAGUUGAGUACCUCGAGACAAUGUGAAAAUAAUAUAAGCCCCCCCCCACCCACCCCCGGAGGGGGCUGGGACCAAACUGAUCGCGGGUUUCUUACAUACUGGGUGGGUAGAUAUUGUAAAAAAAAUUUGAGCGAAAUCGAAAGACAUGACUCAAAAACGUUGGACAAAUUGACAUAGAAUGACCCGUUGAGUACAAUUCUGGUACCACGCGGAGUGUAUAGGAAAAUCCUGGGCCUUUGAACACGAGUUUUUUCAAAAAAUUUUAUCGCAGUGGUGGGGGUAAAAUUGACAAAAGAAAACUUUGAAGCGCCACAGCUCCGGAGUGAAUUGGGUACUAGACAAAAACUGUUUUUGCCAGUUGGUCAUGUCGCUACACAAUAUGGGGCGAAAAAUUGCUACUGCAAACUUGUCAAAAAUUCCUGCUUUUGCCAAAAUUAUAAAAAAAGUCACAAUUGUGUCAAAAUUAUAAAAAAAUCUCAAUUUCUGUCGAAAUUAUCAAAAAAGCACUGUUUCUGGCCAUACUCAGUCAUAAUUGUCAAAAAAUACGUUUUCUUCUGAAUGACGUUAUCAAAAAAUCCUAAUAUUUUUUGUAAAAAUGAACAAGAAAUCCUGUUGUAGGCCAAAAUUUCAAAAAUUCCCAUUUUUACCAUAAUUAUCAAAAAAUCUUGACUUUUUGUAAAAAUUACCAAAAACGCACAUGUUUUAUGCCAAAAUGUUCAAAAAAUCUUAUCGCGAGAAUAAUUGUAAAAAAAGUCUCAUUUUCUCCAAAACUGUAAAAAAAAUUAUUAAAAAAUCCCAACAUUUUGUCAUCCAAAAAAGUCACGUUAUAAUAUUUUUUGCAGAAAUGACCAAAAAACUUUGUUAGUAGCCAAAAUUUUGAAAUUUCCUGCUUUUUGCCAAAAUGAUCCUAAGAAGUCCGUGUUAUUUUUUUUGCCAGAAUUGUCUGCAAAGUUUUAUUCUUGCCUAAAUUGUCAAAAAAUCUCGUUUGCGUCAGAAUCAUAAAUAAGUUCUUUUUUUGUCAAAAUUAUUAAAAAAAACUCCUAAUUUUCGUAAAAAUUGCCAAAAGAAAACUAUUGCUUUUUGCCGAAAUGUUCAAAAAAUCUUGUUGACAUUGGCAAGAAUUCUUGAUUUUCCCAAAAUUAUCCGAAAAAAUCAUGUUUUUUGCCAAAUCAUUGUCAAAAUUUGAUUUUUCUUAGUUAUUUCAAAAUAAAUACGUAGGUAGAUUACGUACCUAGGUACCUAUUGUAAAAAAAACUCUUUUUAGCCAACAUUUUCAAAACUCCUGCUUUUGGGCAAAAUUGUCUGCAAGUUCCCUUUUUUUUGACGAAAUAUUGUGGGCAAAGGCCUUUUUCUGAUGAAUUAUUCAAAAAAUUCUAUUUUAUGCCAAAAUGGUUUGUUGUUAGCCAAAAUAGAUUGAAAGUGCGGUUUUUGAAAAAAUUGUCAAAAAGUCCUAACGUUUGUCAGAAUUUGUCUCAAAAGUGCUGUUUUUUCCAUUUUUAAAAUCAAUCUUCGUAAUUUCAAAUUUUUUCUCUCGAUUUACUAUUCUAUUCAUUUUUUCUAGUUCUCUUUUACACGACGUAGGUCGACUUCUAAACGACAUGCGCAUAGAGCAUUUGCAAAAUCGUAGAUUCAUUACUUGUACAUACAUAUUGAACCCUGUACGUUAGGUAGGUUUCUUCCUGGCCUCCUAAAGUUCUCAUCAUUAUUUUUUUAUUGGAUUUACCACCGAUUUUACUUCUACUUCGAAGUAAAAACAUUCAUAAACUUUCUAUUCAUUUUCUUACAAUGUUAUGCUGUAAAUUCAUUAACCUAACCCUUUCUGCCUCUUUAUGCGUUGUAGUCUCAUUUUUCUGUGGGCAAUGAACAGGGACGAAACUAGUUAGUUUUUUUGGAGGAGGGAACCGUUCACUGUUCACUGAGAAUUUUAGUAGAUAUGAAUUUUGCAGAAUAAAAUGACAAGUUUUUAAAAGUGAAUAAGGGAUGAACUAAAAAUUUUGUCAAUCAAUUCUUCCAUUCGUUUGGCUUAUAAAAACGUUCAUUUAUGUAUUUGUUUAUAUUUUGAAUGUCUGCUUAAAAUCUGUAAAUGUUUUCUCAGAAAAUCGAAGCAAACUUGCCCGAGCGCAGCGAAGGCAAAAGUUUUUGAAAAUUCGCACUUCUAGAAGUGAAAAAACCAUAUCUUAUAUUAGAAGUUUAUUUUCUUGGCUUCCUUCAAUAUUUUUCGAAUUUGAAUUUCGAAAAUUUAUAAUUUAAUAACUGUGUUAAACCAGAAAAAGUUUCUACAAAAAAUCAUAAAUGUAAUAAUAAAAAAAAAACAUUUAAUGCGAAGAGUAGAUAACUGUUGAAAACUACCAAAUUAAAAUGACGAUUUUCAUUCAAUUUUCGUGAUCAUCUCUAAAAACAGAUGACAAAUGGACAAAAUGAGAAAAUUUCCGGUCUUUUUGGCAUUUCGGAAUGAUGCGAAAAAUUUGAAUGAUUUCAUUUUCUGUAUCACGAAUCAAUCAGAUUUUUCUGAUUCACGAAUACGAAUAAUUUGUAUGUAUAUAGGCACGAAUAAAGGCCAUGAUUUUAUUCGAAUCGACUUGUUUCCACGAAUCAUGAAUGUUUGGAUUCGAAUCAUGGGUGGCCAUGUACAUAAAUUCUAAGGACUACUGAAAAGCUCUUUGUUUUCCUGGAUCUUCGCUGAUCAGUACGUAUAUAUCACCAAAAAAUUCAAAACAAAUAAUAUUACAAGUACAUACUUAGUUAAGUGAGUAAGUAGAGGUACCUACUACCUACCAUCACACAUUCAAAAAUCAUCUUUCAUCAUGGGAUAUGUAAGCCCUCAAAAAUUAUUAAUAUUUUCUCAUUUCCCAUUUUUUGAAAAAAUUGUCGAGAAAUCGAAUUUUCAUAGGUAUAACAAUUAAAACAAAUUGGAACGAAUCCAAAACAAUUUCACAGCCAUUUCCAUCAAUUUCUCUCUUUACAAAAACUUUCUAAAGCUAAGGAAGUGAUUUUUUGAUUUUUUUCCGCGCUAAAAACUUUCUGUUCGUUCCAGACUUUUUAUUUAUAGCCUUUUUGAAAUCAUCUGAUAUUGUAACGCCUUCGGUGCGAAAAAUGGAUGAGAUAAGAAAAUAUAGUGUUCAUUAAGUAGGUACAUACGAUGAAAAAAUUCAAUAUACUCGUAUGUACUUACUUACUGUUACGUUACUGUACUUUAUUUGAACGUACCUACUCUGUAUUUUAUUCUUAAGCACUUUUUGUUAAAAUUAUUUUCGAAUAAAUGUUAAAUUUCAAA